UACAGAGGGGGCAAGCGUUAUUCGGAAUUAUUGGGCGUAAAGGGCGCGUAGGCGGCCUUGCAAGUGGAAGGUGAAAUCCCUCGGCUUAACCGAGGAACUGCCUUCCAGACUGCGAGGCUUGAGACCGGGAGAGGUGAGUGGAAUUCCCAGUGUAGCGGUGAAAUGCGUAGAUAUUGGGAGGAACACCAGUGGCGAAGGCGGCUCACUGGACCGGUACUGACGCUGAUGCGCGAAAGCGUGGGGAGCAAACAGG
rnacentral:rRNA from 1 species